GCGGAUUUAGCUCAACGGUAGAGCGUCAGUCUACCAGACUGAAAACGGAGGUUCGACCCCUUCAAUCCGCUCA
rnacentral:tRNA from 1 species